GAGAACGCUAGCGGGAGCUUAACACAUGCAAGUCGAGGGGCAGUCCCGCCUUCGGGCGGGAGCGACCGGCGAACGGGUGCGUAACGCGUAUGCAACCUACCUUAUACAGGAGGAUAGCCCAUGGAAACGUGGAUUAAUACUCCAUAGUAUUAUAGAAUCGCAUGGUUUUAUAAUUAAAAUUUCGAUGGUAUAAGAUGGGCAUGCGUAGGAUUAGCUAGAUGGUGAGGUAACGGCUCACCAUGGCGACGAUCCUUAGGGGUUCUGAGAGGAUUAUCCCCCACACUGGUACUGAGACACGGACCAGACUCCUACGGGAGGCAGCAGUGAGGAAUAUUGGUCAAUGGGCGCAAGCCUGAACCAGCCAUCCCGCGUGCAGGAUGACGGCCCUAUGGGUUGUAAACUGCUUUUCUAUACCAAGAAUUGUCCCGACGUGUCGGGAUUUGCCGGUAGUAUAGGAAUAAGGACCGGCUAACUCCGUGCCAGCAGCCGCGGUAAUAC
rnacentral:rRNA from 1 species